AAGAAGAGAGAGAAGGGUUGUUGUUGAGGAACCUUCCCAUUUCCUUUUAAUCUUUCUGUUUCCUCGUCAACCCUCGCAUUUUCUCCAUUUCUUUCUUUAUUCCUUUUGUUCUGAUUUUGAUCUCGUCCUUAUGGCCACCGCCGGAAACAAAACAUCAAUGCCAAAUUGCAACUGAAGAUCUGAAACUCUCUUUUGAUCUGAAUCUGAGAUUGAAAAUUCAAAUUCAACUUCGUUCAACUGUUGAAUGCGAAUCGUUCCGAUUCUAGGUAAAGCUGUUGUUGUGCACGUUGAAGAUGGCAGAUGUUGUGGCAAAACCAGU